GGUCUGCUGGGGAGUGCGCAGGCCCGCUGCCCCUGCGCUCCCCUGGCACCAGCGACUGGUGCCUCCUGGGUCUGGGGAGGUACCUGCGGUCCCCCCAUGGCAGAUUGCUGAGCCAGAGGAUGUGCGGGGGCGGGGGUGGUGGGGCCCAGCAUGCUCAGUGGUGGACCCGGAAGGGGACUGGAAGUAGUUCCAGUCUGCUUCCAGGUUCGCCACUGAGCAUGCAGCACCCCCGCCCCCCCACAUGCUCCUGUGGGACGCUCCAUUUGCCCCAGCAUCACAGCUUUCACAAGCCAUGCCUGGUACCUCGAGGUUGCUAGAGCAAGAUUUUAGAAUACCCGUGGAGUCCAGAUCCCAGAUUCAAAAGCAGGAGUCCAAAAAAAGGAGGGAGGAGAGGAGGAAGAAGUUACUGCUUUCAGAUGUUCUUCUACACUUUUGUAACUCAAACAUUGCUAUCUUCCUCAGACUAAAAUAUUGUAGCAUUCCCAGCCCUGUGCAGUUGUUGUAGACUUGUACUUUCAGGGACGUUGGAAAUAAACAUUUCAAAUAACUAAAUGGAUCGUUUUGGAAAAGUUGCUCCUGAAUAUGUUUAGUCACA